GCUCAUUCAUAUUUAAGAAGACUGAAGCCCAGAGCAGGGCAGUGCCCACAUUCUCUGCAUGACUCAUGCUGCAGCUGGAGGGUGCUCGGGAAGUCACUGUGCCAACAGCAAAGCUUGGAAAGUAGCCAAAAGAAAACAUUUAUGAUGGGAGAAAGCAGUGCAGUAGGACAUGCCUUGCCACUGCGGCACAUACCUGGUCAGUGGCUGGAUAUUGCCCUUGAAUGGGGCCCUGCUGGUGAGACAGGCAGAGGAGCACCCACAACUCCCUGGGAAAGCUGGACUUGAGGUUCUUUGGAGAAUUUUUCCACCAACAGGACUGACAGCCUUUUGAAGCCAUGUGCUUUAUUUCAGAGACCCAGAGGCUGAAAGUUCCUAUUUAUCCACAAGGCAAGCAUUGGUUCUCCAUUGACUUUAUAAACAUUUGUGUGGUAACCAUUCAGCAUUUCUCAAGGUUGACUCAUUGGAGUGCAGGAGAAGCCGGAGACAGCCCUGAGACCAGAAGAGAUGAUGAACAGAGGUACAAGGUCAUGACAAAUGUAGUGUGGCUACACAGAAGUGGUGCAACUGGAGCUCCCUCAAGGCAUGAGAAGCGAGCAGAAGCAAGAGGAGCACAUAGUGACCUUCACCUUGUGUAAUGGAGGUACACGUCUGUUUGCCCUGCAGCAGUGAAGGCCACCCUUGAAUUACAGAUGGUAUGGAACAGAACUACUUAUUUUGAUCUAGUACUCUGUGAAAAAUUGGGAAUUACCAUUUCCUAGGCUCUAUCUCAUACCUUUUCUGACCAUGAAGGCUUCAGUCACAUUUUCCUCACUUCUCCCUUGAGAAUCCUCCUAACUUUUGUACCUCUUCACCAAUAACAUCUGUACACUGAGAAAACACAACUGCAAUUUUGACAGGGGUGUUCAGGAACUUUGAGAUUGGGAUUGGUUGCUUCCUCUUAUCCAGUUUAUCUCCUUCCUCAAGUUACUAUUUCUCACUUGACUUCAGAGCCAAGCUGCGUUACACCUGCUGCGUUCACCCACAGAGACACUGUCUAUGUGCUGCAGACUCAUUCAUCUCGAUUCUUCUUGAGCUGUCGAAAAUGGCAUCACUUUCUGAGUCAUUUAUUAUAAAUAGCAGCAUGAAGCAGUUUGUCUGGAUUUUAUGGAGGGAAUGGCCUGGAAGCUAAAUCAUAACCAAAAUUGUAAUAAAAAGAAGAUGAAAAAUGUACAAACAAACCAUAUUAAAAAUUGCUUAUUACAUUUCGGUAUCCUCAAGAAGUUGUUUACUGUGUAUUUCUUCUUUUCUGAUGUGAGAUCUACAUUUCAUUUUUCCUUUCUGUCAGACCUCUUUCACUCACGGUCUCUAGUUUAAAUACUUUCUCCAUGGCAGCGAUUGUAAUUCUGUGCUGUUUCCUCAUCUGCUCCCUCUCAG
ensembl:lncRNA